rnacentral:rRNA from 1 species
GAUGAACGCUGGCCACAGGCUUAACACAUGCAAGUCGAGGGGAAACGACGGGGAAGCUUGCUUCCCCGGGCGUCGACCGGCGCACGGGUGAGUAACGCGUAUCCAACCUGCCUCUGACUGAGGGAUAACCCGUCGAAAGUCGGCCUAAUACCUCAUGGCAUCGUCUGCGGGCAUCCAACGACGAUUAAAGAUUUCAUCGGUCAGAGAUGGGGAUGCGUCUGAUUAGCUUGUUGGCGGGGUAACGGCCCACCAAGGCGACGAUCAGUAGGGGUUCUGAGAGGAAGGUCCCCCACAUUGGAACUGAGACACGGUCCAAACUCCUACGGGAGGCAGCAGUGAGGAAUAUUGGUCACUGGGCGAGAGCCUGAACCAGCCAAGUAGCGUGCAGGAUGACGGCCCUAUGGGUUGUAAACUGCUUUUAUGCGGGGAUAAAGUGAGGGACGUGUCCUUCAUUGCAGGUACCGCAUGAAUAAGGACCGGCUAAUUCCGUG